GAUGAACGCUGGCGGCGUGCCUAAUACAUGCAAGUCGAGCGAAUGGAUUAAGAGCUUGCUCUUAUGAAGUUAGCGGCGGACGGGUGAGUAACACGUGGGUAACCUGCCCAUAAGACUGGGAUAACUCCGGGAAACCGGGGCUAAUACCGGAUAACAUUUUGAACCGCAUGGUUCGAAAUUGAAAGGCGUCUUCGGCUGUCACUUAUGGAUGGACCCGCGUCGCAUUAGCUAGUUGGUGAGGUAACGGCUCACCAAGGCAACGAUGCGUAGCCGACAUGAGAGGGUGAUCGGCCACACUGGGACUGAGACACGGCCCAGACUCCUACGGGAGGCAGCAGUAGGGAAUCUUCCGCAAUGGACGAAAGUCUGACGGAGCAACGCCGCGUGAGUGAUGAAGGCUUUCGGGUCGUAAAACUCUGUUGUUAGGGAAGAACAAGUGCUAGUUGAAUAAGCUGACACCUUGACGGUACCUAACCAGAAAGCCACGGCUAACUACGUGCCAGCCGCCGCGGUAA
rnacentral:rRNA from 1 species